GAUCUUGGCCGGUUUAUAUAAGCAAAAUCUCUACAGUCAAUACAUGAACUAUUUCUCUACGCGGAGGGCGGUACACAUUGGUUGCUUCGAGGAGGAAUUAGCGCGCAUUCACAAGCUGGCAGCCGCUGAAGCAACAGUGUAAUUGGUGUCCAGCGUGUGCCUCUUCUUUUAAAUUCGUGGUCAUUUCCUGAACUAUAUCGUCUAUUGCAUCAUAGAUCGGAAAGACAAGUGAGGAACGAACUGUCAGGUCCCUCUAGUGUUCAAAAUCUAGUGUCUGUCACGCGAUAAACUUGCCUCCAUACACGCCGGCUUAUCUUUGGUCCGCGGCCCGCCACAACCAGCACCCCCACCGCCGCCGCCUCCACGGGUCCCUCAGCUGCCAAGUCGUCCGCGGGAGGACCUGAGGCGGCCCAUCCUGAACAUGGAGCGUCGUCUGUCCCGCCCCGCCGCCCAUCACCCGACACGGUCCGCCACAGCCAGGCCUCUGUCUACCCUUCAUGCCCCCUGAUUACCCCCAUUAGUCGGCUGCGAGGACUCAUUCCACCCCCGCUGAGGUGCGAAGAGGAGGUGGGCGAGAGAAGGUAAUGGCGUCAAGGGAAGAUGAAUCGAAGCCCCGGGACGGAAAGCAAGCAAGCCGGCACGCACGAAGGGGAGAUAUCACAAGCGGAGGGGAACAACGAGAGCAAGGUCGCAGCAUAGAGGGCGAAGGAUGAGAAAGGAAAUAAAAUAAAAAAAAGGAAACCAAGACACGCGAAGAGGCGAGAAGACUAAAUAUAAAGACUCGCAGGGGAGAUAUAUUAUUACAAGCGAAGGGGAACAACAGGAGCAAGGUCGCAGCAUAGAGGGCGAAGGAUGAGAAAGGAGAUAAAAAAAAAAACAGAGGAAGCCAAGACACACGAAGAGGCGAGAAGACUAAAUAUAAUGACACGCAUUGGAGAUAUAUUAUUACAAGCGAAGGGAAGCAAGGUCGCUGUGGUCACAGUAUAAAAGACGAAGAUUGAGAAAGGAAAUAAAACCAAAGAGGAGGCAAAGAAUGUAACGACAAAUAAAACACGAAGAGAUAAUUAGACAGUAAAAAGAGACACGCAAGGGAGAUAUUACAAGCGAAAGGAAAAACAACAGGAGCAAGGUCACAGUACAAAGGAUGAGAAAGGAAAUAAAGAAAAGAGGAAAGCAAAAGAAUGUUGGGACAAAUAAGAACACUUGAAGAAAGAGAGAAAGACACACACAAAAAAAAAGAGAAAGGAGGUGGAGGAGAAGAGGAGGAGCUGACGUGUGAAGAAAAGGAAAAUAGAGGAGGACGAAAGAGAGAGAGAGGGGGAGGGAGAGAGGUAGAGGAUGGAGGAGGGUAGAGGAAGGUAGGUAGGUUGAGGGGAAGAGGUCAGGAGAGGGAUAAACAAGAGAGGAAUGAUGAAAGUACGAGUGGGCACGACUGACGAGAGUGUGUGUGUGUGUGUGUGUGUGUGUGUGUGUGUGUGUGUGUGUGUGUGUGUGUGUGUGUGUGUGUGUUUUCAAGUCUUAGAGACACAGACAUACAGAAAAAGACAAACAGACACAUAGAAACAGACAAACAGACACAUAAAUACAUAGAAACACACAAGCACAGACGCAAAAACUGACAAAAACAGACAAAUCACCAGAAACAGACCGUCAAACAGAGACAGACAGCCAUACAGCUCGAUAGACAGACAGAGACACAGAGAAGACACAGACAGACAGACACGUAGCAAGGCAAGGCAGGGAGGAGACAGACAGAUACCAAGACAAGGCAAGGCAGGGAGGCAAAUUACAGUGUGGGUGAGUGAGUGGGGUGCAGGAGGAGUGAGUGAGUGGGCCGCCGUCUCUUCCGUAUGACGUAAUUCCUCUCUCGUCUCCUGCUGCUCCGGCCACCUAGCUCCUCCACUUCCAUUCGUCAGCCCUCGAAAAACACAACAUACGCAUUACCGUUCCCCGCGCGGCCAUUUGCGUCCCGGUAAUGGGCUCUAAGGCGCGGUAAGCGAUGCAUUUCAAUUAGACAGGUCAUUGCAUAUUCAUUGUUACACUUAGGUUGAGGUGCGCGGUGAUCCACAUAACGAGAGGAGCGAGCUGGGAGGCGGGAACACACACAUACACACACACACACGCACACGCACACGCACACAAACAUAUACAUACACACACACGCUAAGUCACUGUGCCAUAUAAUUUAGGGAAUAUAAACUUCUUUUUUUUACAGCUAAGGAGACAGUUCAAGGGCGUAAAGAAAAAUAUUAAAAAAAAAGCCCGCUACUUACUGCUCCUGAAUAGAGGUCAAAGUCUACUUAACAAAUAAUAAAAAAAAAGAUAGCAGGAAUAACGUCAAGGAUACUAUUAAUACUUGUAAUAACACGAAUACUAAGGCUUACACUACUAAAGAGAAUGAGAAUAGGAAUGAGAAUAAUGACAGCAGCAGUGGGGUUCAAGUGAAGAUGCGUCCGCGGUGACUUAGCAGAAGCAGCAUCAGUAUCAUCUCUACCAUCACAGCAUCAUCAGCCAGGUGGCGGGAGUGAAAGCCAUACCUGGGCCCCUCACGCGACCCUCACAGGUGCCGGCGAGGGAGUCCGCGGAGGUGACGAGUGAGAGUGACCGUGGGUGUAGGGGGAGGAGGAGGAGGAGGAGGAAGGGUUGUAGGUGC